GAUGAACGCUGACAGAAUGCUUAACACAUGCAAGUCAACUUGAACUUCGGUUUGGGUGGCGGACGGGUGAGUAACGCGUAAAGAACUUGCCUCACAGCUAGGGACAACAUUUGGAAACGAAUGCUAAUACCUGAUAUUAUGAUUAUAUGGCAUCGUAUAAUUAUGAAAGCUAUAUGCGCUGUGAGAGAGCUUUGCGUCCCAUUAGCUAGUUGGAGAGGUAACAGCUCACCAAGGCGAUGAUGGGUAGCCGGCCUGAGAGGGUGAUCGGCCACAAGGGGACUGAGACACGGCCCUUACUCCUACGGGAGGCAGCAGUGGGGAAUAUUGGACAAUGGACCGAGAGUCUGAUCCAGCAAUUCUGUGUGCACGAUGAAGUUUUUCGGAAUGUAAAGUGCUUUCAGUUGGGAAGAAAAAAAUGACGGUACCAACAGAAGAAGGGACGGCUAAAGACG
rnacentral:rRNA from 1 species